rnacentral:rRNA from 1 species
GACAGAGGGUGCAAACGUUGUUCGGAAUUACUGGGCAUAAAGAGCACGUAGGUGGUUCGCUAAGUCACGUGUGAAAUCCCCCGGCUCAACCGGGGAAUUGCGCGUGAUACUGACGAACUCGAGGCGGGUAGGGGUGAGCGGAACUCCAGGUGGAGCGGUGAAAUGCGUAGAUAUCAGGAGGAACACCUGCGGUGUAGACGGCUUACUGGACCAUAACUGACGCUGAGGCACGAAAGCGUGGGUAGCAAACAGG